UACGUAGGGUGCGAGCGUUAAUCGGAAUUACUGGGCGUAAAGCGUGCGUAGGUGGUUCGUUAAGUCUGUCGUGAAAGCCCCCGGGCUCAACCUGGGAAUGGCGAUGGAUACUGGCGGGCUAGAGUGCGGUAGAGGAGACUGGAAUUCCUGGUGUAGCGGUGAAAUGCGCAGAUAUCAGGAGGAACACCGGUGGCGAAGGCGGGUCUCUGGGCCGAUGACUGACGCUGAGGAGCGAAAGCGUUGGGGAGCGAACAGGAUUAGAUACCCGUU
rnacentral:rRNA from 1 species